GGUACGUGGUGACCCGGUGGUACCGGGCUCCCGAGGUCAUCUUGAAUUGGAUGCGCUACACGCAGACGGGUGAGAAGCUGCCCAGAGAUUUGGGCCUUUCAGCCUGUACCAUCUGCUUCUCCACUUCUUCACGGAGAGCCCUGUGGUGGCUGCUCCCCAGGGAGGCUGUUGAGCUGGGGUGGGAGCCGGGCAGGUGGGCUGUGUCGGUGUCUCCUCCCUCCCCGUCUCAUCCUGUCCCCCUGCCCACGGAGCUGACCAGGGCUUCUAUCUCAGUGGACAUCUGGUCUGUGGGCUGCAUCAUGGCAGAGAUGAUCACAGGCAAGACGCUGUUCAAGGGCAGCGACCACCUGGACCAGCUGAAGGAGAUCAUGAAGGUGACGGGGACGCCUCCGGCUGAGUUUGUGCAGCGGCUGCAGAGCGAUGAGGCCAAGAACUACAUGAAGGGCCUCCCCGAAUUGGAGAAGAAGGAUUUUGCCUCCAUCCUCACCAAUGCAAGCCCUCUGGCUGUGAACCUCCUGGAGAAGAUGCUGGUGCUGGAUGCGGAGCAGCGGGUGACAGCGGCCGAGGCGCUGGCCCAUCCCUACUUUGAGUCCCUGCACGACACGGAAGAUGAGCCCCAGGUCCAGAAGUAUGAUGACUCCUUUGACGACGUGGACCGCACACUGGAUGAAUGGAAGCGUGAGUGGGGGGCGCCGGGCAGGGCCUGUGUGGACCCGAGUGGGGAGCUCUGGGCAGGGCCUGUAUGGACCUGUGAGUUGGGGGCUCUGGGUAGGGCCUGUGUGGACCCGGUGGGCCCUGUGCAGGUGGCCAGGCUCAAAGUCCUAGAUCCCUGUCCCUGGGAUGCAGGUCAGGUGAGGAGGACGGGAGGUCAGAGGGCAGCGUGGGGCCGUGUGGCCUGGUGGAGAUGACCUCUGGCUGGAGCUGGAAGAUGAAGGGAGGGUGUUCCUGGCAGGCUCAGCACAGAGGCUGGCACAGAAGGAGCCGGAAAUGGUGAAAGGCAGCUGUGAGUCAGGGAACCAGGGCCCACUUAGCCCCUCCUGGCCUCCAGACCUGCUGCCCUUCCGCCAUGUCCAGGCCAGAGACCUGGGCCACCCUGACACCCUUCCCACGUCCGCUUGUCCCUAAGGCCUCUCUGCUCACACCUCCUGAAUCUGUCCUUGCCUCUCCUUGCCCCAUUUUUUUUUUUUUUUUUGAGACGGAGUCUCACUCUGAUGCCCAGGCUGGAGUGCAGUGGCACGAUCUUGACUCACUGUAAGCUCUGUCUCCCGGGUACACACCAUUCUCCUGCCUCAGCCUCCCGAGUAGCCGGGACUACAGGCGCCUGCCACCAUGCCUGGCUAAUUUUUUGUAUUUUUAGUAGAGUCGGGGUUUCACCGUGUUAGCUAGGAUGGUCUUGAUCUCCUGACCUCGUGAUCCACCCGCCUUGGCCUCCCAAAGUGCUGGGAUUACAGGUGUGAGCCACCGCGCCCAGCCCUCUCCUUGCCCCACUUUAUUAUCCCUCCCCCCUGGACAACUGUAUACCCAAGACAGUCCCCGGGGCCUCGCCUGUCUCCCCCAGCUCCCCUGAGCAGUCCAGACCCCAAACCCAACUGCUGGGGUCCAUCAUCCCCUAUACCAAGGGCUAUCCCCUCAUCUUGGAGGGCUGGCCAAGGCCUGUGCAGCCUCAGGCUGGACUCAGGGAAGCCUCCCCAGCUCCCACAGCUAUGCUGUGGCCUGAGGCUGUGCUGGACCUGGCUUCAUUUCUGCUCCAGGAUGGCAGGCUGUGUCUUCUUCAUGGCUGCAUGACCAGCCUGGGGUGGGGGUACCUGGGGACAGUAGCUGUACACUGGGAGCAGUGCCGUGUUUCAGGCCCUGUCCUGGCUCUGCCUCGGGCGCAGGACCUUGGUCCUCCACACUGGCUGGGUGGGGCCGGAUGGGUUGAGAUUCACCUGUGCUCCUUAGGGCCACGGGUCCCUGGGUGCCUGCAGCAGGGCCUCCACCCUUAGCUGUG
rnacentral:sRNA from 1 species